rnacentral:misc_RNA from 1 species
UCUCCGUUGGUGAACCAGCGGAGGGAUCAUUACAGGACUCGCAAGACUCCUACAACCCUGUGAACUUAACUAUAAGCACGUUGCUUCGGCGGGUGUCUCGGAGGUGGUUCUCCCUCCCCGAGACGCUAAACCCGCCGGCAGCCUACUAUACUCUGUCUCUUUGCGUUGGCAUCUCGAGUACAAUCAAACAAGUUAAAACUUUCAACAACGGAUCUCUUGGUUCUG